rnacentral:lncRNA from 1 species
AUAGCCAGCCUUCUCAGGUUCUGGUUGUGUUCUCACACAUUGCCUGGGUUAACUAAUCAAAUUUUCCCGCUAGUUAUGAGGGAGGUAGUACUUUUAUCUUCAUUUUGCAGUUAGGGAAUGAAGGAAGCACAGAGAGGUUAAGUGACUUGCCUAAGGCCACACAGCUAGUGGCUGUCCAGCUGCCCUCUUUCAUAUCCCAUCUAUGUGUGGGUUUGGCUUUCGAUUCUGCUGCAUUUACAAAUGUGUCUACCCCUGUACUGCUUCCACAUAGUUUUAUUAAUAUUUACUAACAUUUUAUAUUAAGUUCUGAUAACUGCAGGCAAGUCUCCCUCUGUGUUCUUUUUCAAAUUAGUCUUUAUCCAUUCCAGAGCCUUUGCUUGUUUAUAUUAGGGCCUCACAACUUUGGUACCAUUGGUACUUGGGUCUAGAUUAUUCUUUGUGGUAGGGUCUGUCCUGUGUGCUCUAGAUGAUGAAUAGCAUCUCUGGUCUCUACACCUGGACUUCAGACAUUGCCAAAUGUCCACUGGGGCCAAAAAUCACCCUUUGUUAUAAACUAUAAUUCUGUAUAAAUUGUAGAGUCAGUGUAUCAUCCUUCCAUCCCUCAUCAUUCCACUGUGGUCAUAUCAUUAGUCAAUGUGAGAUAUGCACAUUAUUAUGACUCUAGGUCAAUACCACUUGCAGCCAAGCCACACCAUGUGCUGUGUAGACUUACAUUUCUAUUCAUGUACAACUUCUCCUCCAAAGUUGGUAAUAGCCUCUUUUUAAAAAACUUUUGCUUGUUAUUAAAAGAAAAUCACUCAUUCAUUUUCAAGCUUUCUGCUGGGAUCCUGUUUCUUCUCAAGAUGAUGCAGGGCAGGGAAGGUUCAAAAUUGAGACUUAGCAUGAGAGGGUUCUUUGCUUCACCCAGGGAAGAAUUCAAGGUCAGUGGUGAGAGAAAGCAACUUUUAACAAGCAGUGCCUGGCUCAUAGGCAGUGUGCCCAGCAUCAGCAGUGUACGCUGACAACUGUAUUUAUACCCACUUUGAAUCACACGCUAAUUAAGAGGUGGGUUAUUGAGAAGUUUCUGGAAAAGAGGCGGAAAGUUUCAGGAACCAUUUAAGUUAACUUCCAGGCUGUUGCCAUGGCUUGUUGCCAUGGCGUUUACAAGCUGCCAUGGCACUAGUGGAAGUGUCUUCAUGGUAACGAGCAGUUAGGCCAACUGGAGGUUGCUUUCGUUGCUGUCUGCUGGUUUUGGGUGGCUUCUUCCCUGCAUCCUGUUCUGACUAGAUCCUGCUUCCAUCAGCGGGGUUGUGACUCAAAAAUAAGUUUCUUUCUUUCUUUCUUUCUUUUUUUUUUUAAAGAAACAGGGUUUUUCUUUGUUGCCCAGGCUUGUCUUUCACUCCUGGGCUCAGG